GAGAAAGAAAAGAAAAGUCCCAAAACUCCAACCAUUCCUAUCAAAGGUAGGGAUGUAAGGGAAAGGUCAGCUUAGCUUUCAUCAUCUUCUUCUUCAUCUUCUUCCUCGUCUAAACUUACAUCAUUCUCUCCGUUUUCAUCUUCGUCAUCUUCGUCGUCGUCGUCCUCAAAAAACACUUAACCUACAAUGUUGAAAUACUGCAAUGGGUUCGUCCACAAAUCUUCUCGAAUUAUGUUGGCCACCUGGUAAUUUUCAAGUAAAUGAAUGGACAUAAGUUAGUCAAGUUUUUAAAACUUGCUGAAGCCAAGUCAGCUCAUAUGCGGCUUAAGCUGAACUGGAACUCCUCUGACUCAAAUACAU